rnacentral:rRNA from 1 species
GCGGAGGAAAAGAAACCAACAGGGAUUGCCUUAGUAACGGCGAGUGAAGCGGCAACAGCUCAAAUUUGAAAGCUGGCUCCUUUGGAGUCCGCGUUGUAAUUUGUAGAGGAUGAUUCGGCAAGGGCUCCCGCCUAAGUCUCCUGGAACGGAGCGUCAUAGAGGGUGAGAAUCCCGUAUGCGGUGGGCUGCCUAAGCCAUGUGAAUCUCCUUCGACGAGUCGAGUUGUUUGGGAAUGCAGCUCUAAAUGGGAGGUAAAUUUCUUCUAAAGCUAAAUACCGGCCAGAGACCGAUAGCGCACAAGUAGAGUGAUCGAAAGAUGAAAAGCACUUUGGAAAGAGAGUUAAAAAGUACGUGAAAUUGUUGAAAGGGAAGCGCUUGCAGCCAGACUUGUCCGCAGUUGCUCAGCCGGUCUCCUGACCGGUGUACUCUUCUGCGGCCAGGCCAGCAUCAGUUCGGGCGGUCGGAUAAAGACCUCGGGAAUGUAGCUCCUCUCGGGGAGUGUUAUAGCCCGGGGUGGAAUGCGGCCAGCCUGGACUGAGGAUCUCGCUUCGGCUAGGAUGCUGGCGUAAUGGCUGUAAGCGGCCCGUCUUGAAACACGGACCAAGGAGUCUAACAUCUAUGCGAGUGUUUGGGUGUCAAACCCAUGCGCGUAAUGAAAGUGAACGGAGGUGGGAACCCUCACGGGUGCACCAUCGACCGAUCCUGAUGUCUUCGGAUGGAUUUGAGUAAGAGCAUAGCUGUUGGGACCCGAAAGAUGGUGAACUAUGCCUGAAUAGGGUGAAGCCAGAGGAAACUCUGGUGGAGGCUCGCAGCGGUUCUGACGUGCAAAUCGAUCGUCAAAUUUGGGUAUAGGGGCGAAAGA